rnacentral:rRNA from 1 species
GACAGAGGGUGCAAACGUUGUUCGGAAUCACUGGCGUAAAGGGCGUGCAGGCGGUUCGGUAAGUGGAAUGUGAAAUCCCUCGGCUCACCCGAGGACCUGCAUCCCAAACUGCCGAGCUUGAGUAUGGGAGAGGAUGAGGGAAUUCCUGGUGUAGCGGUGAAAUGCGUAGAUAUCAGGAGGAACACCGGUGGCGAAGGCGCUCAUCUGGCCCAAUACUGACGCUGAGGCGCGAAAGCUAGGGGAGCAAACGGG